GGUGAACCUACUGAUAACAGUGGAUCAAGUACUUCAUCUAACAGAGUCCAUAUAAGAGACCAUGGUUACCAAAAUUCAGGCAGUCCUCGGACUUACAACACAGUUGGUUCCUGAAAAUUGCAUCGAUCCAGUGACUGAUGUUGGCAGGGUUGUUGUUUAGAAGGGACAGAUAUCCACCAUGUAGGAGCUGCUGCUAAAGAAAUUCCUUGAGGAAUCUGUCAGUCCUAGCACCCACAUAAAUAAGUGGCUGUGGUACAGUAUCUAGCCCCUUUUCUCCCCUCCCCAUUGUUCCUUUUCUGUGUGUGGCAUCUAAAUGAGAUUUUGUUUUUCAUUUCACAGGAGAAGAUAAAGGAAAGGUUUCUACUGGGAGGAAGGGAUAGUCUUAUAAUUUAGGUGCUGCUCUGGGACUCAGGAGCUCUAUGUUCAAUACCUUGCUUUGCCACAGGCUUCCAUGUGACUGGCUAAGUCACUAAAUCUCUUUAUGCCUCAGUUCCUCAUCUGUAAAAUGGCGAUGAUAAUACUUCCCAGCCUCCAAAGAGGUGUUAUAAUGUUAAAUCCAUAAAUACUUGGGAGGAGUUCAUAUACUACAGUGAUGAGAACCAUACAAAUCCUAGGUAGAUAAAAUGUUGUUUCAUUAAUUCUAACUCAGUUUGACUUUAUUAAAAUGUAGUUAAAUAGUUUGUAUUGCUUUCAGUAACUCCAUUUUUUUAAUAAAAAAGCACUUCUCAAGUAUAACCAAGACCUGCUGAGAGCCCUGGUUGUGGCAGGCCUGCUUAAAUGAGGGCAUGGAACUCAGUUGCAGAGUGCACCAGGGAGAUAAAAUGUCCACAGUGUUCUGUGGGAUGAAGCUAGAAGGACCACUUACAAUAGUGCAGCUGCAAUGCUUGUUGUUACUGUGCACACAUGGUAGUGUUGCACUAUUGUGUGUUGAGUGAGGGCAAGUGGAAGCAUUGUGAAGAUUUGUAACAAGAUGGGCUUACAGGGGUGCUGGUGAUGUUUAUGCACUGUUGAGAGCUUUUUUGUGCGUACGUGAAAUAUUCACAUGCUUUUAAGGUGCUGACAACAGCUUAUAUCUCUGGUGUAGAUGGACCUCCAAAGAAAUGGUUCUUUCAUUUAUGGGAAUGAAAAUGUUCAUGUCAUCCCUCUUCUGUAAAUUCUAAACCUGUGGCCCUAGACACUGAAGUGAUUACCUGCUUUUACCUCAAUUUAUCCUUUCCCCAGGACUCCUUCCUAUGAUCUGCCCCUCCUGUGGGUAUUCUGUGAAGCCAUUGUAAUAAACCUCCAACUUUGUUUGUGGCCUCUGUACUGCAAUCACACAGAUGUCCCCUGACCUGGGAUUCCUUCCUCAUAUGCCUUUUUCCCAGAGUGUCCGAAGCUCCUCUCAGGAGGGAGACCCACCAGUUCUAUUUGGGAGUUGGAGAGACCACAAGCUAUUCCCUCCUAAACCUCUCUGUGUUUUGCGUAGAAGCAUAUAUACAGCCAGUCCCUUUUCCUCUAGGGUCUAUGGUUCUUCUGGCCCAGUACCCCUCUGUCCUGAAUAGAACACCAUAUUGUCACCCCCAAAAUGUUCAAAACUCAGCCACCCCAAAAAAUCAUGAUGUUGACUUAAA